AUGGUGUAUGUUUCUACAAGAAGGAAUUAUUUUUAGGUACCCAUUUACUUUUGGGUGCCUCAAAAACUAACCUAACUUGUUUAUCAUGUUGCAUAGACUUGAUCAUGGUUCCUUUAGGAACCCAAAUCAAUUUGUUCGGACUAAUUUUCUUGAAUGGACAUUGAUAAAUUAUAUGUCCAUAUUUGCAACAAAAGUUGCAAUUGCUUUGGUGUUGAACAUGUAAGAUAGGAUCUUUAAUGAAGGUGGUUGGAUUUUGGUG
rnacentral:lncRNA from 1 species